AUAUGCUUGUUCCAAAGCUUAAGCCAUGCAUGUGUAAGAACAGCGACUCUCGUGAAUCUGCGAACGGCUCCGUAUAUCUGUUGUCACCCGCCAUCAUCCGCCCGGUAGACGCAAUUCCCUACCGGCAGCGGAUACCCUCGGUAAUUCUGUGGCUAAUACGUGUAUGAGUGGGGGUCCCCGCGCAAGCGGGGGCCUCCGGCCUUGCCGCUGACAAAUGCGCCGGGUAACACCGCACCGCAUGAAGCUGGCAAGUGCCCCUACCGGUCCCUCGUGGGCCGGAGUGAAUGACGGGCUUCAGACCUAUCAACUAAGACGGCCGGGGAUGGCCCGGCCGUGGUGACGACGGGUACAGAGGAUCAGGGUUCGAUCCUGGAGAGGUAGCCUGAGAGAUCGCUACUACUUCUAAGGAAGGCAGCAGGCGCGCAACGUUCCCAAUGGGGGCACCCUGAGGACGUGACGGGACAUACCAAUGCUCCGCCCAUAAAGCGGGGCAAUUGGAAUGGGGGAUCGCCAAACCCUCCACCGAGUAACAAUUGGAGGACAAGUCUGGUGCCAGCACCCGCGGUAAUUCCAGCUCCAGUAGCAUCUAGUUAAGUUGUUGCAGUUAAAACGCUCGUAGUUUAAGCCGGUGCGCCCGCUUCCCGCCGAGUAGCCGGCGGACGGGGCCCUUCCUCCGGGAUCGGCCCCUCCGCCCACCAAAGGCGGGCAACGGCGGGCCACCAUAUGUGGCGGAGUUCAAACGGAUCCCGGCCCUUCAGUGGGCUGGGUACCCGUCUCCGCCGAUUCACUUUGAGUAAAUGUACGCGCCCAAUGCAGGUCACAACGACCCUUGAAACCCGCAGCAAAGAAUGAUGGUAUGGGUCCCCCUGGUUUGCGCAUAGCGAUGGGGGACCAAUUGGUAGACAGGUUGGAUCGGGGUGGGCCACAUGGCGGGGGUAGGGGUGAAAUCCGUUGAUCCUCGCCAGGUGAACUAACGCGAAAGCAGCCCACAAGUACCUCUCUGUUGAUCAAGAACGAAAGUCUGGGGAUCGAAGAUGAUUAGAUACCAUCGUAGUCCAGACCCUAAACAAUGCCGGCCAUGGAUGGGCCCGCGUCCAUCCCGACCCAGCCCGAACCUUGUGGGAAACCAUAAGCGUUUGGGCUCCGGGGGGAGUAUGGUCGCAAGACUGAAACUUAAAGGAAUUGACGGAAGAGCACACAAGGAGUGGAGCCUGCGGCUUAAUUUGACUCAACACGGGAAAACUCACGAGGGCAAGAGGGGGGUAUGAUGGUCAGCGUAUCAGCGCUUUCCUGAUUCCUCCAGUGGUGGUGCAUGGUCGUUCUUAGUUCGUGGAUUGAUUUGUCUGGUCUAUUCCGAUAACGAGCGAGAACCUACUCUACGAUGUUGGGCCCUGGGGCCUGGGUGGGACCCGAAAGGGACCCGCUCAAUGGCCCCCGGGCAACCUUACAAGCUGGCGAGAUCGGUACCAACAAGGUGCCGGAAGAUGGUCAAUAACAGGUCAGUGAUGCCCUUAGAUGCUCUUGGCUGCACGCGCGCUACAAUGGGGGCGGCAACGGGUAUGCCUGCGCCGAAAGGCGGCGGGUAAUCCUCCGAAUCCCCCCCAUAUCAGGGACUGUGCCGUGUAAAUCGGCACACAAACAAGGAAUUUCUAGUAGUCUCACGUCACUAGCGUGUGACGAUUG
rnacentral:rRNA from 1 species